rnacentral:rRNA from 1 species
AGUGAACGCUGGCGGUAGGCCUAACACAUGCAAGUCGAACGGCAGCACAGUAAGAGCUUGCUCUUACGGGUGGCGAGUGGCGGACGAGUGAGGAAUACAUCGGAAUCUACUUUUUCGUGGGGGAUAACGUAGGGAAACUUACGCUAAUACCGCAUACGACCUACGGGUGAAAGCAGGGGAUCUUCGGACCUUGUGCGAUUGAAUGAGCCGAUGUCGGAUUAGCUAGUUGGCGGGGUAAUGGCCCACCAAGGCGACGAUCCGUAGCUGGUCUGGGAGGAUGAUCAGCCACACUGGAACUGAGACACGGUCCAGACUCCUACGGGAGGCAGCAGUGGGGAAUAUUGGACAAUGGGCGCAAGCCUGAUCCAGCCAUACCGCGUGGGUGAAGAAGGCCUUCGGGUUGUAAAGCCCUUUUGUUGGGAAAGAAAAGCAGCAGGUUAAUACCCCGCUGUUCUGACGGUACCCAAAGAAUAAGCACCGGCUAACUUCGUG